UACGAAGGGGGCUAGCGUUGCUCGGAAUCACUGGGCGUAAAGGGUGCGUAGGCGGGUCUUUAAGUCAGGGGUGAAAUCCUGGAGCUCAACUCCAGAACUGCCUUUGAUACUGGGAGUCUCGAGUCCGGGAGAGGUGAGUGGAACUGCGAGUGUAGAGGUGAAAUUCGUAGAUAUUCGCAAGAACACCAGUGGCGAAGGCGGCUCACUGGCCCGGUACUGACGCUGAGGUGCGAAAGCGUGGGGAGCAAACAGG
rnacentral:rRNA from 1 species